rnacentral:snRNA from 1 species
GGAUGUGAGGGUGAUCUGGCUGUGACACCUGUCACCCCAUUGAUUUCCAGGGUUGAUUCAGCUGAUCUGGUUGGCUAGGCAGAUGUCCCCUUCUUCCCUCACCACUCCAUGUGUGUCCCUCCUGAAGCUGCAUGCUCGGUUGAAGAGGAUGACUUUCCCUGAAGUAUACCCUUCGGUCAAGGAUAUAUGAGUAGCUGCACUCCCCUGCUAGAACUCCAAACAAGCUCUCAAAUCAAAUUCUAAUAUGUUCAUAAUUUGAUUGGAUUACAACUGGACUCCAGCAUAAUUGGGUGGAAAUUCAUAUUCAUGACACUUUUAUAAUUUUU